rnacentral:ncRNA from 1 species
UUGAGCCGUAUGCGGGGAAACUCGCACGUACGGUUCUUAGGGGGGAGGGGGUCAGUAAUGACCGUUCUCCUACCCUAC